CAGUGCUCUCACUUUUAAGGAAUUAUCCUUAAAAAUAGGAAUUUUGAAGAGUUUUAAGGAUUUUUUUAAGGAAUUUAGGUUUUUGAGGAUUUUUUUAAGGAAUUUCCGAAACAUUUUAUCCUGGACGGAGAAUAACCACGCCACGCAAAUGAGAUUUAAACUUGAAACACACUAUAUGCACAUAAUUACAUAUAUUCGUAUGUUCUCUAUGUCGUAUAAAAUCUACAUAUGGCUGUCUUUCCAUUAAAAUUCUCAAAAGUUAAAUGUCAGUGUAUGCUGUUUCUUCUGAAAUCUACAGAUUUUCUAAGUUCUCAGGGCCGUAGCGACCGGGGGAGGGAGGGUGCAACACCCCUAAUAUUGCUCAUGAACAAUUUCAGGUAGAUUUCCUGUAGAUUUUCAGGUAAAUUCAGGUAAUUCUCAGGGCAUAAAAAAGUGAACUCUAUAAUCUGAAUUAGAGUUAACAAUCAAACGUACUAAAUACGUUGAGACUUGUUGUGGUAGGGGGCAAUUGCGAAAUACCCUUUCUGACGAUCUGGAGACUCCAAAUUUCCAAAAUUUUCUCAAUUUCCUAUUAAACUGAAAGUAGCAAUACUUAUCUUCAUUGUUAGGCAAUACUAGUAAAAUAUUGGGUAGGAAAGACUCUAAAAAUGCCAUUUCCGACGGUCUAGAGACUUCAAAU